rnacentral:lncRNA from 1 species
GUCAUUAAAGAGGAAAAAUAAAUAUUAGAGCAUGUAAAAAUUGACCAAAACUAUAUACUAUUUCAUUGCUGUAGAUUUCAUAAACCAAAAGGAAAAAUUAAUCAAAAAAAAUCACCAGAAAGAGUAACAGCAUGAACAAACAGACGAUGAAGAACAUAACAGAGAAGAAAUGCCUGGCUUUCCCAUGUACGCCGCUCCAUUUUUUUUUCUCGAAACGAUAUAUAUAUCGGCGGCCGGCCGACGUCGACGCCGGAAGUGCUUCAGUCAACCGCGCAAAGGGAAACUUGAGAAGAUAGAAAUUUGCCAGAAAGAUGGUUGAAAUUACUAUAAUCAAUUUGUAAGCAAGCCAUAACAUCAUAUUUAUUCUUCAUCCUCUUCAUAACUUUUGGUUUUUUUUUCUGGGAUUAUCUGAAACAAGAAGAAAACAGCAAAAGGUUAUGAAAUGAUAAGGGAAAACAAAAAAAAAAAUGAAGAGAUUAUACAGGAGUUAACACAAAGAAGAUGAGACCAGCAUAUAUAUAUAUAUUAUAAAAGAGGCAGGAAAAAAAGGGAAGGGUGUUCCCAAGAAGAUGAGACCAGCAUUUCCCGUUUUAAUGUUGCCUUCAUAUGUAAACACAAUUAUAAAAUGCGAAUAGGAUAAAUAAAAACUUUGAAAAUUAUAAAUAUAUAAUACUUUUCUUUAGUUGACAAAAAAUACGUUUUUUUUUUGUUUAUAUAAAUAUAUAAUACUUUAAAUAGUUAAUGAGUUGAGUAUCUAAGUCUAAAUUUUAUUAUUUAUAUUUACACGUAUAUGUGUUCUCGAUUUUGAUUUUAAUUUGAUUUAAGUUUUAUUAUGUGUGUUUCCUGUUUAAAUUUAUUUUAAUUUAGGUUUGGAUAUAAUUUGAUAAUAUGUCAAUUUGCUUGUGCAUGUUAUUGUAAUUUUAUAGAUGUAUUACUUGUAAUUGGGAAUUGUAAUUUGUACCUUAAAAAAUCCUUUUUAAUUUUUAUUUUAAUUUUGAUUAUCAAACUAUCCAUUUGUACAAGUAGUAAUUUAAUUCUAAUUGUAGUUAUAUUUGUAAGGCAUAGUUUUUGGCCCUCUAGAAAAAUUAUUGUAAUCCUCAAUUUAAUUUUUCAUCUUUUUUAGUCUUUGAAUUUGUAUUUUUUUUGUCAAAUUAUCCUAAAAUGGAUGGAAAAGUUUGUCACACCCCAAAAUAGAGGGGUUAAUUGAAAUAAUUAAUCAAGUAGUGACCUAGGUUAAAUGGUUAACUAGUUAGUGUACUUUUUAGAGGUCUUAAGUUCAAGCCAUUGCUUAUUCAAUUAUUUUCUUUUUAUUUUUAGCAAAUUAGGGUGAAAAUCACACUAAAACAAAUAUUAUUUGAAGUAAAAAUUAAAUAAGAAACGAGUAGCAGCUCAAUGAUUAAUACGCUCAAACUUCCAUUUGCUUACCCAGGUUUGAGUCACCCCUUACCCAAUUCCAUUUCCUUUUAUUCGGCAACAGGAGUAAAUUACUAAACAUCCCCUCAAAGUUUGAAAACCCUAGGUAUUUAGUCCUAUCCCUAAUAGCAUUAGAAGCUUUGCUUUCUUUUUCAAAUCCAAGCAUAAUUUUUGCUCAUUUUCCCUAUUUUUUCUCCCUUUUCUUUUCAUAUUCUUCUUUGCAUAAUAUUUUCUCCAUUGCUGAACUUAUUUUUGUUUCCCGAAUCAAAAUCUAUUCCCGAUUCAAGUCAUUUUUCAACCAAAAUCGUAAUCGCUAUUACAAACAUUCUUUAAUUGUUGCCAAGAAUCAAUAAGCAUGUCUCGAUUCUGAUGUUUGAUCUCAAAUCUUUAUAGAAUUUCUAUCUAAUGAUAAUCUUGCAAUCGAUUAAACAUUCUUUAAUGGUCCUUGCCAAAAUCUUUCAAUAAUAUCGUUGAAUCUUGAUACCCAAUGUUAAUACAUGAAAAAUAUAUUGUUGAAGGACCAGAUUUAGGUGAACCGAACCAUUCUUGAUCGUGAGGAACGUCGUUCGGUCUCCUGAUGAAAGGUGUGUGUUCUUUAACAAGUGAAUCGGGGCAAACUGUGUAUAGGAAUAGGGCCAUAUGGCCUCUCACACGGCAAUGUACCCCUGAAACCCUAGGCUAGUUCAUGAACCAUACGGCCACAAUCCUUUCACACGGCUAUGUCCCUCAUGUAGGUUAAUUUUGCAAUUGCCACAUGGUCACAAUCUGUUACACGGUCUGGCCACAUGGCCGUGUAACCCUUCCACACAGCCUAAAGCCUCUCACAAGGCCAUGUGACCCAUGAUUUACAAUUUUGCCUAAAAUUUUGUGAAUUGAUCAGUUUAAUCCAUGAAUAGUCCCCAAACUAUUUUUAAUGUUUUUAUAUCAUUCAAUUGAGUCGCUAAUAUUAUGAAUAAUGUUGGAAUCCAUGAUCUGAUUGACUAAAUUGUUACUGUACAUGCAUGAUAUGUGAUUGGUUCAUGUUUAUUAUCAUUGGUUUAUUGAUAAACUGUUACUGUUACUUGUACCAUUGUGUUUUCGAUUGUAUGAACAACAUGACUACCGUUACUGAAAAACUAAAUACAUGUCAUACAUGGCCACUGCUACUAUUAAUCUACAUACAUGCUAAGCAUGUCUACUGUUUCUGUAUUAUAUUGUACUGCUACUAGCAUGUCAUAUUGCAUUGCAUGGGGUGAGACGAUUGAAAGGAGUAAGUACUGACAGUUUAUUUGCAAACACUGGUGGUUUAUCCACAAAUUUAUUCGCUGCUUUUAUCUACAAACCGUUGUGCAUUCACAACCUACUGGCAACGCAUUAACCUACAAACAUUUGUGGCUUAUCCACAACUUUUACUGCCAUCUUUUAUUUGCAAACUUGUUGUCUAUUCACAACUACUAGUAGCGUAUUAACCUACAACACUUAUGGUUCAUCCACAAAUUAGAGUGUCCAGGAUAUAAGAGUUCUAGGGAACUCUUACUAUGGAGUGUAGCGGUAGGGUAGGACAUUUCUUUACUGUUAAACUAAAAUUACAUUACAUUCGGCACUCAUAAGUAUAAUCGAAUGAACUAUCAAUUUUUGCUAUGCUAUAUGAUUGUUAUUGUAUUGAACACUGUUAUUAUAUGCUUGGUUUAUUACUUUGUAUUGAUUUUCUUGUGAUGGAACUCACACUGAGCUUCAUAGCUCACCAUCCCUUUAAUUUUCAUCCUUAUAGAUAACCCACCAAGUUAGGACGCGGACACGACAUCCGGAAGGUCUCAUCUCGAUUUUAGUUAAUAAUAUAUUUUAGAUUUAUUAUUUGGUCUUUUAAUUAUUCAGAGACUGUAUUAUUUUAUUUUGAAUUGUGGCAUA